UCCCCGAGUAACGGCGAGUGAAACGGGAAAAGCCCAGCCCUGAAGCCCCUGAUCCUAUGACCAGUGUGGCAAUGUGGGGUAUGGGAGUGCCCAUGCGAUUGCAUGGCCUGUCCAGGUUCUCCUGAUUGAGGCUUUUACCCAUAGCGGGUGCAAGGCCCAUAUGACGGGCUGCGUUGUUGCUAGGGUGCUCCCCGGAGUCGGGUUGCUUGAGAAUGCAGCCCAAAGUGGGUGGUAAAUUCCAUCUAAGGCUAAAUACAGGCACGAGACCGAUAGCAAACAAGUACCGUGAGGGAAAGUUGAAAAGCACUUUGAAGAGAGAGUUGGACAGUACGUGAAACCGCUUACAGGUAAACGGAUGGGACCGCAAUGUCGCCCACGGGUAUUCAGGUCGUCUGGACUGGCCAGUGACUGAUCAUAGGAGUUCUUUUGAACCCUGGGUCGGACGCGUGAUGUCUGUCUUGGCGGCUGCACUUACCUGUGCUGGCGAACACUUUCACCGCAUGCCGUUACAGGAAGAAGCUUCUCAGCAAGGUAACUUGUCGUCCUUGUGGCGCAAGAGCUUACAGGUUGGGAAUGAACUGACUGUAUGGUGUGCGAGGAGCUCGGGCCGCUGGCAAUGGCCCUAGUCGCUCUGCUGACAGUGACCGGCGAGGACUGUUUACAGUGCUCUGCCUACUAUUGUUGUGGAGGUCCGGCUAGGUGCCAGAGUUAGUGUGUUAGGGUUCAAAGUGCUGUCGGCACCCCAUCCGACCCGUCUUGAAACACGGACCAAGGAGUGCAGCGUGUGCGCAAGUCAAAGGGACCCACGAAUCCCCAUGGCGUAAUGAAAGUGAAGGGACCUCUUCUGGAGGACCCGUGGUGUGAUCCAGAGUCUUUGACGCUCUGGCGCAACACCGGCCCGCCUCGUGGGCUUUGUCCCUGAGGCGGCGCUUGAGCGCACAUGCUGCGACCCGAAAGAUGGCGAACUAUGCUCGAGUAGGUUGAAGUCAGAGGAAACUCUGAUGGAGGACCGUA
rnacentral:rRNA from 1 species